CCUUCAUUCCUCUUUUUGCUCGAUCCAAUUUACAGCACUUUGCCAUGAACAGAUCGCUUGAAACGAUCGAAAUAUUGAGCAUGCAGUAAAUCUUGCAUCUGUGUUAAGCUUUGAACUACAAGACCGGUGAGCGCAACUAAUUUGCAUGCUGAACACGAAGUGCGUAGGUGUUUGCUAUUGUAGGUUUAAUUGCAUAUCGUUUGGCAGCUAAUUCAACUGUAUUCUGCAAACAAUACAUAACAAUGCUCG